rnacentral:rRNA from 1 species
UGGGGAAUAUUGCACAAUGGGCGGAAGCCUGAUGCAGCGACGCCGCGUGGGGGAUGAAGGCCUUCGGGUUGUAAACUCCUUUCGACAGGGACGAAGCUUUUGUGACGGUACCUGUAUAAGAAGCACCGGCUAACUACGUGCCAGCAGCCGCGGUAAUACGUAGGGUGCGAGCGUUGUCCGGAAUUACUGGGCGUAAAGAGCUCGUAGGUGGUUUGUCGCGUCGUCUGUGAAAUUCCGGGGCUUAACUCCGGGCGUGCAGGCGAUACGGGCUGACUUGAGUGCUGUAGGGGAGACUGGAAUUCCUGGUGUAGCGGUGAAAUGCGCAGAUAUCAGGAGGAACACCGAUGGCGAAGGCAGGUCUCUGGGCAGNNACUGACGCUGAGGAGCGAAAGCAUGGGUAGCGAACAGGAUUAGAUACCCUGGUAGUCCAUGCCGUAAACGGUGGGCGCUAGGUGCAGGGGGCUUCCACGUCUUCUGUGCCGUAGCUAACGCAUUAAGCGCCCCGCCUGGGGAGUACGGCCGCAAGGCUA